ACAACAACAACAGUGACAACAAUGACAAUGGCGACAACAACGACACCACCACCACCGCCAACAACAAUAACGAAGACGACUUUGACGACGACGAUGACGAUGAUGACAGCAACAACAACGAACACGACUUUGACAGCGACGAUGACGAUGAUGAUGACAAUAACAACAACAACAACGACAACAACAACAACAACAACAACAACAAGAACAACAACAACAACAACAACAACAAAAACAAC
rnacentral:lncRNA from 1 species